rnacentral:rRNA from 1 species
GCAUCUAAGCGUGAAGCCCCCCUCAAGAUGAGAUUUCCCAGUAUGUAAGACCCCUUGAAGACGACGAGGUAGAUAGGCUGGGGGUGGAAGUGCAGCAAUGCAUGGAGCUGACCAGUACUAAUCGGUCGAGGGCUUAUCCAA